AACACCCCUUCAACAUUCUCCAGUGGGGGCCCCAGCCCGGCAUUACUAGUAAACUUACACAUAUUGGUCCAAACACUCAAGCUCCUACACUCCUUCAGCAUAUCCUCAUUAAACCUAGGAGGCAAAUCAUGGACAUAAAUAUACUUUCCUCCACAAGGAUCACUCUUAUUCUCUAUGGUUCUCAAAGCCCUCAUAAAAGGGAAAUUCUCCUUCUUUUGACUACUAGUGAUACUGGGGGUAUUUUUCAAAGAGGCAUCUAUAAAAGGGGUAGUUUUGGAGGGGGUAUUCGUCAAACGGGCAUCGGUUACAAGGGCAGGGGUUUUUGAUCCUGUGUUUAGUGAAUGAGCCUCUAAUUUAACAGAUUCAUCAACAGUAUUACCUCCUAACACGACAAAAUGGAAGUACAAUAAUAGAAUCCAGAAAAACGCAGAGAGAGAAGCCAACAAACAAAGCCGUUUCUGUUGAUUUUUCCCAGUCCCUUUAUCCAUUUCCUCAAAAGGGACACUCGCCGCAG
rnacentral:misc_RNA from 1 species